UUCGCAAUGCCCGAAAGGGUGAACGAGCGACGCCGCGUGCGGGAUGAAGGGUUUCGGCUUGUAAACCGCUUUUCUUUGGGAAGAAGGUUUGUCUCGUGCAGAUGGGCUCGACGGUACCAGAGGAAUAAGCCUCGGCUAACUCCGUGCCAGCAGCCGCGGUAAGACGGAGGAGGCAAGCGUUGUUCGGAAUUAUUGGGCGUAAAGGGCGCGUAGGCGGGCUGUCAAGUCUGGGGUGAAAUCCCACGGCUCAACCGUGGAACUGCCUUAGGUACUGACGGCCUCGAGGGAGAUAGGGGCGAGCGGAACUGUGAGUGGAGCGGUGAAAUGCGUUGAUAUUCACAGGAACUCCGGUGGCGAAGGCGGCUCGCUGGAUCUUUUCUGACGCUGAGGCGCGAAAGCUAGGGGAGCAAACGGGAUUAGAUACCCCGGUAGUCCUAGCCGUAAACGAUGGGCACUAAGUAGAGGGGUUUU
rnacentral:rRNA from 1 species